UGGUUACCGUUCUCCCCUUUCCCAUUCCCUUUCCCUUUCCCCUUCCCCUUGGGUUGCAAAUCAGUUUGGUCAAGGUGAUUGUGGUGACUGUUUACGGGUUAACAUGCAUUUCUCCUUUUGCAGAUUUCAACUAUUGCUGGUGAAUUGAGAUACACCGAUGCCAUGAAACUGCAGAAUCAGAUCAGCUGGAGAGCCGCCUUCACCUAGGGUUGCUCACGCUGCAGUCGCGGUUGGCACCAUGGUUGUGUUUCAGGCCUGUAAAACAGCAGAAUCAUCACUAAAGAUUGCCGCAUUUAUAUCAUUUUAUGGUGUAUUGGUUAUUUUAUUGGUUUAUUUGUUUCAUUGGCUAGGGUGGAAUAGGACCAGCUGGUCAUUCUACUGAUGAUUACGUGCUUGAUCUGACCAAUGAUAAGUUUAAAUGGAAUCGCCGCAUUCGGAGCAGUUUAGCACGUAAUAUCCAUUUCUCUUCUUGGUAUAGUUGCAAUAACUAUGGCGAACACAAUUGCUGGUGAAGAAACAGUGCAUAAACUUGCUUCACUUUUGCUCAUAGUUCUUGGUGGUAGCUAUAUAUUGUUGUUUUUGUCUGGUAAGGGGGGACACAGUCAUUCUCAUAACCAACCCAUGGAGAAAAUGGCCGUCGCUGGCCUUGUCCUCUUUCCAGCAUUGUCUCCUUUUGCAACCACUCUUCCUGUGUUCCUAGCUGUCGAAAAUUCGUCUUCCAUGAUGGUACUUGCCAUUAUAGUGUUGCUAUUCAGGUAUACAUGACAAACGACUUUGAAAAUUUGAGAAUGGCUUAUUCAAUUUUGAUUUUUAUAUAUAAAUAGUUAGUUGGCAGUUUAGUUGAAAGAGAGCUUAUUUUCAUGUGUUUCCAAUUGGUAUAGCAUCUUCAGUUAACUAUAGACUGGUGUUAACAUACAAGUACUUUGAUGUAUGUCUUCAACUUUUAUCAUGCAUAGUGAUUUUAAUCUUUUUCUUC